rnacentral:rRNA from 1 species
AAGACCUCGCUAGAGGUAUGCUUAGGGAAGAGCUUGCGUCACAUUAGCUUAGUUGGUGGGGUAAAGGCCUACCAAGACUAUGAUGUGUAGCCGGACUGAGAGGCUGAACGGCCACAUUGGGACUGAGACACGGCCCAAACUCCUACGGGAGGCAGCAGUAAGGAAUUUUCGGCAAUGGAGGAAACUCUGACCGAGCAACGCCGCGUGAACGAUGAAGUAUUUCGGUACGUAAAGUUCUUUUAUUAGGGAAGAAAAGAUGGNGGAAAAACCAUUAUGACNGNACCUAAUGAAUAAGCCCCGGCUAACUAUGUGCCNGCANCCGCGGCAAUACAUAGGGGGCAAGCGUUAUCCGGAAUUAUUGGGCGNAAAGGGUGCGUANGCGGUUAAAUAANUUUAUGGUCUAAGUGCAAUGCUUANCGUUGUGAUGCUAUAAAAACUGUUUAGCUAGAGUUGGAUAGAGGCAANUGGAAUUCCAUGUGUANUGGUAAAAUGCGUACAUAUNUGGAGGAACACCAUGAAGCGAAGGCGGCUUGCUNGGUCUUAACUGACGCUGAGGCACGAAANCGUGUGGAGCACACAGGAUUAGAUACCCUGGUAGUCCACGCCCUAAACGAUNAGNACUAAACAUUGGGUAANACCAGUGUUGUANUUANCACAUNACGUACUCCGCCUGAGNANUACGUACGCAANUAUGAAACUUAAAGGAAUUGACUGGACUCCGCACAAGCGGCGNAUCAUGUUGUUCANUUCGAAGGUACCCGAAACACCUCACCAGGUCUUGACAUGCUUUUGCGAAGCGCUAGAACCCUCGUGGAAUGAUAUCAGAUGCNCGAGGNGGNGCAUGGCUGGCCUCAGCUCGUGUCGAGCGAUGUUAGGGUUAUUCCCGCNACCGAGCCCUA